CACCUGCCUGCUGGCUUCGUUCUUACUGAUGGCCGUCACCAGCUUCCUUCCAAACGAAGACAUCAAACUCCAACGAAGAUCAGUUUCCACCAACAACACAAAUGCCUCAGCGACAGCACAGUCUCAAG